rnacentral:rRNA from 1 species
AUGGCAGCCUUCCGCCUUGCGGCGGCCGGCGUGACCCCCGACCUGACGGGCCGCAGCGGCCGUCUUCGUGCACCGCCUCCACCGCACGAUCGCCGCAGACGUGGCAGCGGCCACGGUGCGCAGCCGGCGCCGGCGCCCGCGCCGGCCGCCCCUCCCACGCCGCCGGAGAUAGAGCUGCCGCCGGAGCAGGUCAUCCUCCGUGAGGACGGCGAUCCGGAUGACACCCCGGGGUACCACGUGGCCGUACGGGCGUCGGAGGCUGCGGCGGCGGCGGUGAAGGAAGCCCCCGAGAUUGCAGCCGCAAUCCAGGCGGCCGAGGCGAUGGCGGCGCAGCAGGCGGCGAUGGCGCCGCCGGAGUGGCAGCAGGAGUGGCAGCAGGCGCCGGCGGCGAAGGAGGAAGAGGAUUCGGACGACAUCCCGGUGGACUGGGACGACGUCGCGAACCGGUCCAGCAGCGACGAUGACGGCGGCAACGGCCCGGCCGUGAUUGACCUCAUUGAUAGCGACGCCGAGUAG